CAUAAUUCAGAAAACCAUUUGCGAAUAAAGUCUUUGCUCACUCUCACAAACUCAGAAUGAAAACCCAUUUUCAUUUUGUUCAACCAUCCUCCAAACUAAAUGAGAACUCUUAGAAAAUUCUCUCUCUCUCUCAUCUGAGCUCAUCUCAUCUCCGACGAUCAGUUGAGGCGCGGUGGUCGGCGAUCCUAUCUCCAACGACGACCAGCGGUUGAUAGUCAAAGCCAUCUCCUCCGCCCCUUUGUUUGAUUACAAGAUCUGAAUAAGUUCUUUGAGAAUGUGUUACAGUUGCUUCUCAAGAAAACAAGGAGGAGGCAGAUGCAUGAUCGGUGUUUGUUGGCAAUGUGAGAAACACAAUCUUCUUUUUAUUUGAACUUAGCCUUUUCCAAGUUUGCCAUUCUUUUAGAUUAGUCUGCUGACUCUGCUGGGUUAUAUGAUGUGUUAUCAUGGUUUUUCUCCUCCACAACUUUAAAUACUCAUUCUUGAAGUGCUGUCUUUUAAAGAACCAUU